rnacentral:misc_RNA from 1 species
GAUGAAGAACGCAGCGAAAUGCGAUAAGUAAUGUGAAUUGCAGAAUUCAGUGAAUCAUCGAAUCUUUGAACGCACCUUGCGCCCUUUGGCCAUUCCGAAGGGCAUGCCUGUUUGAGUAUCAUGAACACCUCAACUCUUUAUGGUUUUCCAUGAUGAGCUUGGACUUUGGGGGUUUUGCUGGCCUAUGGUCGGCUCCUCUAAAAUAAAUCAGCUUACCGGUGUUUGGUGGGUAUCAUGGGUGUGAUAACUAUCUACGCUUGUGGUUUUUCCACCAGUAACCUUCGACAGCGGAGGUUCACUGGAGCUCAUAGAUGUCUCUCCUCAGCGAGGACAGCCCUUUGAAUGUUUGAUCUCAAAUCAGGUAGGACUACCCGCUGAACUUAAGCAUAUCAAUAAGCGGAGGA